rnacentral:rRNA from 1 species
UGGGGAAUAUUGCACAAUGGGCGAAAGCCUGAUGCAGCAACGCCGCGUGAGGGACGACGGCCUUCGGGUUGUAAACCUCUUUUAGCAAGGAAGAAGCGAAAGUGACGGUACUUGCAGAAAAAGCGCCGGCUAACUACGUGCCAGCAGCCGCGGUAAUACGUAGGGCGCAAGCGUUAUCCGGAAUUAUUGGGCGUAAAGAGCUCGUAGGCGGUUUGUCGCGUCUGCUGUGAAAACCCGAGGCUCAACCUCGGGCCUGCAGUGGGUACGGGCAGACUAGAGUGCGGUAGGGGAGAUUGGAACUCCUGGUGUAGCGGUGGAAUGCGCAGAUAUCAGGAAGAACACCGAUGGCGAAGGCAGAUCUCUGGGCCGUAACUGACGCUGAGGAGCGAAAGGGUGGGGAGCAAGCAGGCUUAGAUGACCCUGGUAGUCCACCCCGUAAACGUUGGGAACUAGUUGUGGGGUCCAUUCCACGGAUUCCGUGACGCAGCUAACGCAUUAAGUUCCCCGCCUGGGGAGUAC